CCUACGGGAGGCAGCAGUGAGGAAUAUUGGUCAAUGGGCGCGAGCCUGAACCAGCCAAGUCGCGUGAGGGAUGACUGCCCUACGGGUUGUAAACUUCUUUUGUAAGGGAGUAAAGUGUGGCACGUGUGCCUUUUUGUAUGUACUUUAUGAAUAAGCCUCGGCUAACUCCGUGCCAGCGGCCGCGGUAAUACGGCGGAUGCGCGCGUUGUCCGGAUUUAUUGGGUUGAAAGGGAGCGGAGAUGGGUUGGUAAGUCAGGGGUGAAAGUUUGCGGGUCAACCGUAGAAUUGCAAUUGAUACUGGGAGUCUUGAGUACAGUUGAGGUAGGCGGAAUUCGUGGUGUAGCGGUGAAAUGCUUAGAUAUCACGAAGAACUCCGAUUGCGAAGGCAGCUUACUGAACUGCCACUGACAUUGAGGCUCGAAAGUGUGGGUAUCAAACAGGAUUAGAUACCCGGGUAGUC
rnacentral:rRNA from 1 species